CAGAUUCUGUGGCAAAUAUGACACACAGAGUGAAACCCAGGAAGAUCGAGACCCUUGAAGGCCCAGACCAAGUCUACCAUGACAGCCUCCUGCCAUCAGCUCCAUAUCAAGCAAGGGCAUCUGGAAGCUUGUUUGGGAUGGAAACUGCUCCCUUUCACCAUCCCUGCUGGCCUUCUGUGGGCAGAGAGAUGCCCUGUGACUGUUCCUGUCUGAUCACAUUCCCCGCUCUCCUCACCCUGAAGCUAACAUCUCUGCACUGGCUGGAGCAAGUCCAAAGGUUGUUAAACACUGGUCUGGCUGCUGGGUUUUGCUGCAGGAGUGAAAGUGGAUGAAUGCCUUGUGCCCAUCCAUACCUUGCUAAGAGCUCCUUCUUCUGACAUCCCACCUUGGGGCUAAGCCUGCUCCCCUGGCUCUGGUGCUAAAAAUAUAAAUCACCUUUUGUAGCUGGCUAAACCUUUGCUUUAUGGGUCUGUUCCUUUAAGCAAAAGCAGUAGGAACAGUGGAGGGAGUGUAGCUAAAGAUGUAUUUACUUGAAACAUCCAGAGCUCUGAAUAUAUCACCAGCAUGGGCCAGAAUGGCCUGGAGAACAUCUGUGCUUCAGCUUUGCUCAACAAAGACAAAUACGUCUCACUCGGUGCUUUGUUCUUAUAUAAGUUUCCAUAUUGGUAGAAAUAAUUCAAUGUAUCUUGGUAAUUCUGUUAAGGCAGGCUCACCAGUUUCCCCACUUCAGAUUCAAUAGUAAUUGUGUUGAUAUUACCUGCAGGUAUCUUUGUAAGAUAAUGCUGUUAAUGUCACUACUCCAGAAGCUUUAUCAAUACAUUAAUUGGUGCAGGAAAGUUGACAGCCUGCCCUUACAAGUGCCUGGCUUUGAGCAACCUGAAACUGAAAUGAUUAUUUGAAAUUAUUUUAAUUUUUGAGGAUAGUGCUCUGCAGAAGGACAGC